rnacentral:lncRNA from 1 species
GGGUUAAGGGGUGGAAUAACCCCUUAACCCCCAUAUUAUUCCCAAACACUCUAAAAAUGGAUGGGGUUAGCUAACUCCAUCUCAAAUGGGCUAUUCCGGGUUAGCUAAUCCCAUCUAAUCCCACCAAACUCCAACAAAAUAUUAUUUUCUAUUCAUAAUAACCCACUAUCCUUCUUAUCCCACCUACUCCAAUCAAACACUACUUUUCACUAUCCCACUAUCCUUCUUAUCCCACCUACUCCAACCAAACAUUAUUUUUCACUAUUCUGGACUAACUCCAACCCUCAACCAAACAUAAAAAUACUCUAACCCCACCUUCACUCUGAACUUAACCCUAUUCCUGGAAUAACUAGUUUUUUUCUUAACUCCGAACCAAACGAUAAGAAUAUAAGACCAUGAGUGAUGUGACUUACAACA